GGGGCAGAGAGGGAGACACAGAGUCCGAAGCAGCCUCUAGCCUCUGAGCUGUCAGCACAGAGCCCGAUGCGGGGCUUGAACUCACGGACUGCGAUAUCAUGACCUGAGCUGAAGUUGGACGCUCAACCGACUGAGCCACCCAGGUGCCCCUGGUAUUUUUGAUUUCUGUCUUCAGUUACUUAUUCCAUGUUUCUUUGAGUUCAGCCAGAACAUCAGUGGAUUAGUCUUAUAGUAGGUGGAAUGGUCUAAACCUUCAUUGCCAUCUGAGCUACUGGUGGUCUGUUUAUUAUCACAGAAAUCUUCCAUUAACUCCUACUAUAUUUAGUAUUACCACAGGGUUCCAUCCAUACUUCUCCCAUCCUUUAUCAUGCAGCAGCAAGACUGUUCACUCAGCCAACACUCUAACCCUCCCACACCUUCCAAACCACUGGAAUCAUCACUGUGUUCCUCUUGUAUUUCUCCUUUGCUCGCCUCUCAAUCAGCAAAGCCCAGAAUCACAGGGAAUGGAGGCAGAGAUUUUGGGUCACUGAGGUAUUAACAGAGGAGUGCUAUCCACCUUCCUCUUUAGUUCCCAGACCCUUGCUUAUAUAGAGGCCAUGGUCAUGGAUUCACAGCAUAUAACAACUGUACUGUAUUCCAACCUCACAAAUUGCGGUCUCCUUGGAAGGCCAGCUGAUUCAGGGUGCUGGGUGUUUAUGUUGAAUAUAGUGAAUUCUGCUGGUAUAGCCUACCAUCUUCCUCUUCAAUGUGAAGAAAAUUUUGUGAUCAGAAAGCAAGUGUCCAAUGGGAUAACUUAACAACAUAAAAACAUGUGAGUGAGUCCUUGAAAGAUGGUAUUGGCAGACGUUUGGAGGACAAAGCAAACCCAAUUCCAGAAUGUGCCCCUCCAGGGAGGGCAAAUUGCUGCUUCUUCCCCUCUGCUCAUUCUAAGAAAUCUGACCAUACUUUUCCCGCAGACCUCCUCACUGCCAGUGCUCUAGUCCUGCUCUCACAAAUCUCUGAUCACCAGGUUAUUAGCCACAGACUAUGGAUUAGCAUGGAUUUUUAUAUCAGUCGUCUCUACCUCCUGCCACAAUGGAAGAGACAUGUUGCUCCAAAAUUCUGCUGCCUUGGAGGGUUUUCUGUGUCCACUGGUCAUCAGGGCUAGUAUAGUAACAGUGCCUUCACUUAGACGGGUAGGUCACAGUGGAGUUCUGGGUCUCCAGGAGUUAACAUUAGCACAGGCCCAGUGUCUCUGAUAAUCCCCAGAAUGUCUGGUUAUUUCUCAGGAUACCUGGACAAUGGUCUGGUGAGUGGCUUCAGGUCCUUUGGGGAAAACUUGGAGGAAGCAAGAUCCAUAGCAAGUACUUAUGAUGCUAUUUCAGGGCCCUUUCCCUAGACACCUGGCUUCCUCUUUCUUUGACCUAGACCUGAGACUGGGUCAGGUGCCAUGAGUAUGUUGUGACGACUCCAAUCAGACCUUUGUUUAUUAAGUGGAAGAUUUUUAAAUUCUAAAAAUCAAAUAGGAUCUUUGACCAUCUAUUUUGGUCUUCAGGACCCCACAAUUAGUUGGGCAGCACCAAAGAACCCUGCGGGUCAGACCCUUGUAAUAAAUGCACUGUCUUCUGGUUAUGGUAGCCACAUCCACCUGGCUUCACACAUUGCAGCUACCUGGUCUCUGCUAUCCCAGGAUCCACUCAUCCCCACUGAAACCAGAAAGCCCAUUUGUACUGCAAUGUCUCCCUAUCAAUUGCAUCUCCCACCAGUUGUCACAGUUUCUACGGACAGAGUCACUCAACAAUCUUUCCAGCACUCUCUCCCUUGCCUUCCUAUGCUCCUUGGCAAGUGAAUUACUGAGUCACGUGAUUUCCAUUACAGCCACACAUGGCUAUGUGACAUAGUUCUAGAUAGCACAAGGAAGUAGAAAUCCCUGGGACAGGCUUUCUUCCUGAAAUGAGGGCACAACCUUUCGAGAUGCAGCAACCAUCUUCAAACAUGAAGGUGAGAACCAUGGGUGACUGAGGCAGUGCAAGAACACAAGGAGCCUGUUUCCCUGAGAGCACCACUGAGGUGACCUACUAGCCCUAGAUGUCCUAUGCCCAGAUUUUUUUAUAUGCCAGAGACAGAUAAACCUCUUGAUUACUUCUCUGAGUAGGGUACCUAUUACAACCAAGAUCAAUCCUAACAAAUACACCAGUGUAUUUCUAAGGCCUUGUUGAGGGAGUAUUUUCUGACACCCCCUCUAUCUUGGGGGACAUGGUUGGGUAGUGGUAAGUUGGUGAGUUAGACAUGAUUCAUUCACUCAACAUGUCUAUCUCACAGUCUUUGAAUUUCUUCCUUUAUGUUACACAAAGGUAUUUCAGCCAUCUCAGUGAGGUAGGAGGGCUAAAAGGACUCCACUUAUUUUUAUUUAUUACUUUUUCAAAGAAAGUUUUGGUUUAUUAUGUAUUGGAGAGAAAGAGCAUGUGCGCACAUGAGCAGGAGAGAGGGGAAAACGGAAACAAACAGGCUCCACACUCAGCACAGAGCCCUACUCGGGGCUCUAUCCCAUGACCAUGAGAUCAUGACCUGAGCCAAAAUCAAGUCAGAGGCUUAACUGAGCUACCCAGGUGGGUAGCUACCCAGGUGGGACCCCUAAAGGGUUCCAUUUUAUAAAGGCUCCAUCCCUGCUGUUUUUCUGCUAGGCCUCAUUUACUUGUAUUCCAUAUUUUGCCUCUGAAGAAGCCCAAGCAGCCAUGUUCUCACUUCAAGGAGGAAGCAAGAAAGUUAAUCCUUUCCUGAGUUUUGUCCUAGGCCCCCAAACACCUGAUGACAUCUAAGAAGAUCCAGAUCCCAAGCAUGUUUUAGGACAUUAGCUUCAAACAAAUCUUAGGUUACACUGGCAUCAAAACCCCUUACCUUCGGUAAUUUAUGGAAUAACACCUAUAGUUCACCUGACACGCACCUUUGGUCGGAUCCUACCCUGGAUUCCCCGGGGGAACAUGUACCUUAGAUUUCCUCCCUUCCAAUAUAAACCCCUAACCCCAAGUGACAGACAUUCUUUCCUUUCUGAGUCUCCCAGACCUCCAUCUGCUACUCUCUACCUGUCACACCACUCAAUAAACUCUGUUUUCACUUUCUCUGGCUCACGUUUGAUUUCUAUCCUGCACAAAGCCAAGGACCCUCCUCUGGGUCCUUGGACCUGGCUUACCCGCAUCAUAUUUUGAUGACAUGAAGGAACCCUUAGAGGAACAACGGUACCCCAAACUACAUCUGUGUAGUACAAUUUGACCUCCUCACCAUGCAGGGGUACUGGUAUGUUCCUCCUCUGGGAAACAGAGUUGGAAAGUACAGGGUUACUUCCUAUCUCUGUACUUUUUCUGUGAACUGGACUGUUCUCUGGGAAGAAGGAAAUGUGGAAAAACAUGUCUGGGGACCUGUUCUCACUCUCUCCUCUCCUGGUGCUCUGACACCACCUCCGGGGAUCCCAAGACAGAGCAGGAUCUCAUGGUGGUGCACCAGGGCUCACUGGUGCAUUUCCCCGGGCUAGUAACUCAGAUGACCACAGGAGGUUCCUCCUGCUCUCUGUGUGCUCUGCUGGCUCCAAGUUUUACUUUCACCACAAACUCUUUCCACUCUGGCUUCUGGACAAUUUCAAGGUUGUUGGUUGGCAUAAGAGACUGAGUCACUAGCUCUGAAGAAAUGGGACUCUUGCUUCUUUUCCCCGAAGGGAACAGUCCUAUAGGGAACUCUCUCUCGUGGCAACUAAUUUCUGGCUCGGCCAGGAAUGCACAUGGAAGGAUUGAUCAUCCAGUGCUGUGACAAACCCCUACAGCAGUUUUAGACUGCUGCUUGGGAGAAACCAAGACACAUCAAAGAGGAAGAUCAUUUCCUUGGUGACUAUCUGAGAAGUUGUCCCCGUAAGUAGCCCAUUCCACCCACCACUUUGUUCCCCUAGAAUAGACUCCUAACUGUCUCUCUACUUUUUUGUCCACUGUCAGGUGACUGUGUCAUUGCAGUUCUGGUACAUCAAGAUUGAAUUGAGGCAAUUCCAGGACAGUAGAACUGCCUUAAAGAUUGUUGGACAAUCCUGUUGUUGGACCAAAGGAUGGUCCUGCCGCCCAGUUGUGCUGGGUUAUUGGAUGAUGGUAGAGGAGACACACGGUGGGCUGGAAAUGUGGCAGGGUCCACUGGGGCCUUUGCCUGUCGGGGGGGGCCACACAGUCUCUACCAAACAACCUCCCUCCAGUGGAAUCGCCUCUCCCCAUGUGGCUCAAGGACCCCUGGAUUCACUCUGCUCCUGGGGAUUUGCCCUUCUCACCAGAGCACUGUCAGGUAUUGACUUGCGGUGUUUCAGACUCUACGCUCCCCCUGUUUAUAGAGUCUUAAUGGAAUUUAAAUGCUCUCUUUUCUCCCCUUUUAGUUCAGUCCUUGUGGCUGUUUUCACUUUUCCACUUUCCAGGUGCUUUUGGCGGGGGUGGGGGUGGGGGAGGGCUUUCCCAUACUAUCCCCCAUCUUUGUCCUCUCUUUGCAAGCAAAAACAGCUCCCUGCCCUCCAUGGCUUCUCUUUCCUGUUCACCUCUCUGCGCCUCAUACCUGCUGAGUUCUGUGGUUCAGGUUGUGUAGAUUGUUGUGUUAAUACGCCAAUCAGUUUUCUAGGUGUGCAGGAUGGUUUAGCAUUGAUCUGGCUGCAUUUCAUGGCUAAGAGACACACACAAAAAAACCUUCCAUGUUGUUCUGCCAUCUUGGCUCCUCCCCUUGGUUUUUAAUUUUUUUUUAAGUUUAUUUUAUUUUUUUGACAGAGGGUAUGUGCACAUGGGAGGGGCAGAGAGAGAAGGAGAGAGAGAAUUCCAAGCAGGAUCCUCGCUGUCAGCACGGGGCCUGACUUGGGGUACGAUCCCACACACUGGGAGAUCAUAACCUGAGCCAAAAUCAAGAGUUGGAUGCUCAAUUGACUGAGUCAUCCAGGCACCCUGGUUUUAAUUUUGUAUACACAUUUUACUGACAGAUAGAAAUUUAAAAAUUUUGGGGGGUACCUGGCUAGCUCAGUCUGUAGAGUCUGUUGAGGAAGAACGUGAAAAUUCAAUCUUUAUUUUAAAAGAUACUACACAAGUAUUUACCCAUUUAUAAACACAUGGUAUUUAUUGUUUUUUCAAUAUUUCCUAAUUUUAUUAAUUAAUUUUUAAAAGAUUUUAAGGAAUCUCUACACCCAACAUGAGGCUUGAACUUACAACCCCAGGACCAAGAGUACCAUGCUCCCCUGACUGAACCGCCAGGCCACCCCAUUAUUUUUACAUUUUAAUAAGUAUCUUACAUGAAGUAUUUCUUUUCCCAAGUAGCCAUUCUUUGAAAUUGUCCUAAAAUCAAGUAUAUGUUGAUCAAUCUGUUGCUCCAAAUUAAGAGUAUAACCUUGGUGUUUUAUAUUUAUACCAUUAGAAAGCCCCACAUUUAAAUGUUUAAAUGAAAUAAAUCCAAAGUGAAUACAAUAUGAAAAAUACAUUUUAAUCCAAAAGUUUGAAUAUUGGCACUUAGCUAUUUACAAUAGUAUUUACAACAAAUUUUACUGUAACUUUUGUAGAGAUAACUAUGUACAUAGAGCUAUCUACAGUUGCUUGCUUCUAACAUACAAACCAUCACUGUGUAGAAAAAUGUGAACAGGUAAAACUCAACAACUCAAAAUCACUACGAUUAAAUAAGAGUUGUUUUGCUACAACUCAAAAUCACUACGAUUAAAUAAGAUUCUGACAAAUUUUCCUGGAGUUGAAAAAUGCUGGUUAAGUCACGACAGAAUUGGAGGCACGAGUGUAUGGUCCCCACUUCUUCCCAUUUUCACAUUGUUGUCUCCUUACUUAGCUGACCUGCAUUUGAAGUAAAACUUACACCUGAAUUCUGGACAAUUUCAUAGAAAACAGGGCUUUUAAGUCUAAGACUUUGUUUUAGUCCUGUUACUAUGACUCUAUAGCAGAUGGUAGACUUUUUGAAGAUAUUAAAUGCUUAUGGCCCAUUAAUCAUUUUUAUGACUGCCAAAAGGUUGUUCUAAUGGUAGUCAAGAAACUACCAAGUGGGAUGCCUGAACACUAGGUGUCUCCUAUGUGCUUUUCAUGAAGUUCAGUCUGCUCUACAAAAUUUUAUUGUUUGAUUGGAAACCUCAGUUUGAGAAAGGGAGGUAAAUACAAUGAAGAAUGAGCAGCUCUGUUAAGAUCAACAAAAUAAUUCUGAAUCUCUUUGCUGCAGAAUAAAGUUUUAAAAAGCCCAGUCUAAUACAAUCAUCCACCUAUCAGUUUCUUUAAGGUUUAAGUGGCCAAGAGUCUACCUAACAUUUUCUAGAUGAGAAAAUAAAGCUUGUGUAACUUUGUGAUAGAUACAGUUGGUCAUAGCUAUAUUUUAUUUAAGUCCUUAGUCAGAAAUCUAAACCUUAAUUACCAUUUUGUUCUUGUAGAAAAAUACAAUCCAUUUAGAGAAUACAAUCCAUGGAGAAAAAUAGAUACCACCUGUUCCUAAUGGUCUCCCUGGAAAUUAUAGCCUUUGCCUGUAAUUUAAUUCCUUGUUAUCCCUUUUCACUUUCCAAGUGACUAGUAAUAAAUAAGCUACUGGUUACUGGGUAGUAGGGAAAAACUUCUUAGUCUUCUUUCCAUCUAGGAAUUUCAUGAAAGAAAUAUGUGGCAAGUCUUAGAGUACUAUGAAUCCAAGAUAACUGGAAAUAAGUUUUACUUUCUAAACUACAAAUGGUUGGCAACUGUUUCCUUAAUAGUGAUUGCAGGAGUAGGUCCAACAUGAGUCCAUAUAUAGCCCUUCUCUGGUCUGGUUGGAACCGUGGGAAAUGGUGAUGAACGUGACUUGAAAUAUUCAGAAGGUGCGUGACACACAAAUUCCAAGUAUUCCAUCUUCCUUGGAAGAUCCUCCUCUGGUCCUAAAAGGCAGUCAGUGGAAAGAUUAAAUAUCUUUUGAACAUAUAUGUCAUUUUCACAAAGGGUUAAAAUUCCUAAAUGGUAGGACAAACCACUCUGGUGACCUGACAUUAGUCCUUGACACAUGUAUUACUCUGAAGUCACUCUCCCCUACUUUUUCUACUUUACCUGUUUAACUCCCCCAAACAGUGACUCAAUAUAGGAAGGACUCUAAAAAUAUUAGCACACCAGUGUUUAUUAUUAUGUGCCCAUACUGUUCUAAGUACUGCACAUACACGGAUACUUUGAGUCCUCACAACUUUGCUUGGAGGAAGGCACUAUUAUUAUUCCUGUUCUAUGUAUCAGGAAAAUGAGGCAAGAGAGAUUAAGGAACUUGCUCAGGGCCACACAACUAGUAAGUGCUUGGCUAUGAACCCAGACAGUCUGGCGCCAGCACCUGUGUUCUGAAUCUCUAUGCCAUACUUCCCACUCUAGUAUCUGAGGAUUAGAGGAGGACGUGGGAGAGGAGCCCCAGAGGUGAUUCUUCACAUCACCGCCUCUGCUGAGAACCCAGUCCUAGAAGUCAGGGAGAUGAAAGUCCACUCUUCUAUGUACCUACAAGCAGAAGACUUAGAACUGAUUGUGUAUCAAGCUUCACCCAUAGGUGAGAAUAACAGCAGCAGUUAUUUGUCCCUGAGUUCCCUCUGGAAAAAACGAAAAACCCUUCGUAUGAAAAGUAAUGCAAGUUCACUGCAGAAAGGUUGAAAAUAUGGGGUAAUUUAAAAACUCUGAACACGUUUUAAACUGUAUUAAUCAGCAACUUCUUCCUGCAAGUCUAUGAGAAACAUUUAUACCACUUCUUUUGUCAGCUUUGAAAUGCAUAAAAGUACAGUGGCUGCCAUUCCAACUGUACACAAUGACAUGUUAUAAACGUCUAGGAUGAAUAUGUGUGACUUGUGGAGGGAUACAUAAUGAAAAUUUGUUAAGAUGCCAGAAAUAAUAGGGACGGUUGCUUUUCAAAUUAUUUUUAACUAGAUUUUUAUAAGUCAAUAUGCCUAAAUAAGCCUAACUCCUGAGCAAUAAAUUCUUUUAAUAGAGUUUAACCUGGGUCGCUCAGAAAAAUCUUAUCCACAUCACUUGUUAGUAGGUAUGUAUUGCCCCAACUGAAAAACUGAAUGCACUCAAACCCCAACUAUAUAAAAUAUCUUUCAUAUUUUCUAUAAAGUUCUUUCCUUUUUAACAUUUAAUGAUGCUUAUGUUUCUUUGCCAUGGACUGAGUUAUAGUCCCACAAAUUCAUAUGUUGAGGUCCUAACCCCUGAAGUGAUGGUGUUUAGAGAUGUGCCUUUAGGGAGAUAAUUAAGGUUAAAUGAGGUUAUAGGUGGAAAUGCAAGCUGGUGCAGCCACUCUGGAAAACAGUAUGGAG